rnacentral:rRNA from 1 species
GAUGAACGCUGGCGGCGUGCCUAAUACAUGCAAGUCGAGCGAAUGGAUUAAGAGCUUGCUCUUAUGAAGUUAGCGGCGGACGGGUGAGUAACACGUGGGUAACCUGCCCAUAAGACUGGGAUAACUCCGGGAAACCGGGGCUAAUACCGGAUAACAUUUUGAACCGCAUGGUUCGAAAUUGAAAGGCGGCUUCGGCUGUCACUUAUGGAUGGACCCGCGUCGCAUUAGCUAGUUGGUGAGGUAACGGCUCACCAAGGCAACGAUGCGUAGCCGACCUGAGAGGGUGAUCGGCCACACUGGGACUGAGACACGGCCCAGACUCCUACGGGAGGCAGUAGUAGGGAAUCUUCCGCAAUGGACGAAAGUCUGACGGAGCAACGCCGCGUGGGUGAUGAAGGCUUUCGGGUCGUAAAACUCUGUUGUUAGGGAAGAACAAGUGCUAGUUGAAUAAGCUGGCACCUUGACGGUACCUAACCAGAAAGCCACGGCUAACUAUGUGCCAGCAGCCGCGGUAA